rnacentral:lncRNA from 1 species
CAAUGCUAAUACAUAUGAUGAGAUAACAUGAGGGAUCUUAGGGUCAAAAUUAUGGUCUUACAUAUUCCUCUUCACACACAUAAUAUGGUGUCUAAAAGGUUAUAAAAUUUCAAAAGUUCACAGUGGUUAACUAUCACUAAUCAACAAUAUGACAAUCACAACCCUUUCAACAAAUUCAAACCAAGAGCAUAAAUUGUUCUUCAAAAAACCAAAAGAACAAAAUACAAACAAAUAAAAAAAAGAGAACGAAAAAAAUUUGAAAAAAAGAGGUCACCAAAAUCCUUAACGGAAAAACAUUAAGAGUAUGUAUCAUACCCUAAUUUUU